rnacentral:rRNA from 1 species
AUUGAACGCUGGCGGUAUGCUUAAGACAUGCAAGUCGAACGGAAUCUUCGGAUUCAGUGGCGGACGGGUGAGUAACACGUGGGAAUCUACUGAGUAGUGGGGGACAGCCCGGCGAAAGCCGGAUUAAUACCGCAUACGCCCUACGGGGAAGGCGCAAGCCGCUAUUUAAUGAGCCCGCGUAAGAUUAGCUAGUUGGUGAGGUAAAGGCCCACCAAGGCAACGAUCUUUAGCUGGUCUGAGAGGAUGGCCAGCCACAUCGGGACUGAGACACGGCCCGGACUCCUACGGGAGGCAGCAGUCGGGAAUAUUGGACAAUGGGCGCAAGCCUGAUCCAGCAAUACCGCGUGUGUGAAGAAGGCCUGCGGGUUGUAAAAGCACUUUCAGUUGGGAAGAU